ensembl:lncRNA
CAGAAACAGAGAGAGACGCAGGGGUGGGGAUGCGCAUACUCAGUUUUCUUCCAUUUGUGGAAGCCCUGGACCAGAAAACGGUAUGAUCCAGUGGAUGGGACAUCUCAUCUCAGCUAACCCAAUCUAGGGCUUAUGAAUUCGAAGUCUACUGUUCGCCCCAAAUAUGAAAACGCUGGCCACAUUCAAUGCAGCUGAUCUAUUUCCAGGGCAGUUGGAUAUCUGAGCGGGUAUAUAAGACUGGAAACCAAAUGCUGGGUCUACAGGAAAUGAAGUUCUGAGGCAGGCGGGUUGGGAAUGCAAAUCUCAUGAUGACAGCUUUUGUUACAUACUAGAAACAAGAAGACCCUCCCAUCUUCACUGUGUUUUCUGAUGCGGAAGGGAUUUAAAGUGAAGUCAUCACACCUGCUGUGGACCAUGUUUCCUUCAGAAGGGCAGAGGAAGAGAAAGAACCAUGGAGGGAGCUAAUUAACUCAAGGGCUUUACCUGAAAAGCUCCUGGUUGCAGCGCAAGGACC